rnacentral:lncRNA from 1 species
UGCUGUUUAAAAUGAAUGGAUCUCUAUUUCAAGAUGGCAUGUCUAGUACACUUACGUGCACCGCCUCACAAGCACACUGAAAUGACAGAAAAGGACACUAUGAAUUAGGACAAUGGACUGAAAAAUAAGCAGAAAAUUUAAACACACCAGUGACCACAGUGCAACUGCAACUGACGAUCAGUUUCCACCAAACUGCAACAGAGAGAGUGGCUUUGCCGGUGAGUUCUGUCAAACUACUGUGUUAUUUAAACAUUAUUUGGCCUUACAACUAAGGUGAGGCCCUUGGGCCUCUACUGAAGGCCCAAUGUGUUCAACAAGGGCUCUCCAUGCUGCCUAAGGGAACACAUCUGAUUUGCAGCCCUGAAUGAACUCUGGGACUCAUUCAUCAUGCAUGUACUUUCCUCAGAAGUUGCUCUUACCCAGCCUUGCGGGGCUGCAGCCAGAUCUCCCACGAGUGGUAAUGUAACAUGAAAACAAUGAGCCACAUCUUCAAAAUUCCAAAGGAAAAUGACCCUCAACCUAGAGUUUCCUAUCUAGGCAAGUAUUAAUCAAGUGUAAGGGCAGAAUAAUGACACUUCCAGAUGAGAGGUAUACAAAUUUACCUUACCUGCACCCAUUUACAAGAAGCUAGUGAAGGUUGUGCUCUUUAAAACAUGAUGGAAUUUACCAAGAAAGAGGAGGACUUGGCUUAGGAAAGAGAAGAUCCAGUAGAGAAGGGGAGUGACAGGAAUCUGCAGGAAAUGAUGAAGGGCAAUCCCAGGAUGUUAGCUGCACACCAGAGAUGAGGAGACAGACUAGGACCCCUGCUCCAUUAGACCUCCAGGUCCCAAACACCAGGUGAGCCAGGGCCUUGGCCUGUCUUGCCCAUGGCUGAUGAAGUGUUGUACUCUCUAUCAAACCCUGCAGUCUGGGCCAGCUGAGGACUCUCCUUGGAACCCAAAGAAGCAGUUUGUUUCCACCUACUCCCAAGAGCUGAAGAUUAUAAGCCAGAAGCAAACAAAGGCAGGCAAGGAAAUUUGAGGUUGUUGCAUCUGGAAGUAAACAUGUAGCUACUUCUUCUAAUAAAACAGAGGGACACAUUUUGAUUACCUGAAAAAUUCAGUUCUAUCUUUUGAUUUGGUCUGGACACCUGGAGGUCAGCAACCGAGAGCAGGAAGGAGGCACAGCAACAACAGAACAACAACAAGAGGCUGCGACAGGGGCGGCGUGGGUCAAAAGGAAGCAACCUGGAGGACGGUCCUCCUUGCGGCUUGGAGCAGAGCUUCAGGUUGGGCACCACGACAGAGCUGGGCCAGAAGUCUAACACAGCCUGUUUGGAACACAACCCGGGAUACUUGUGUGGUUGGGUUCAGUCAGUCAAGGGAAACAAGAAGCUAACCCGUGGCUGGGAGUGUUCAUGCAAUGCUCGUGGAAUACUCAGCGCAAAGCCUGCCCGCAAGCACAAAGGGUAUCAAGGAAGAGUUAAAUGGGAAGUUGGGUCAUGGUGUGGAAUCAUAUUAAGCUCUUAGGUGCUCUGACCCUGGAGGAGAGGGAUUUCACUGAGAUGAGAAGGAUGCGUGAUGGGAUCCAUGGGCACUGGAGGCUUAUAUUUCCCUCUCAUGCCAUGCUCAAGUGAUGGGAGGGCAGAGGCAUGAGAGGGUGCUAAGGGACUAAACGCCAUGGCCACAGGAGCUCUGGCCAAGGCCCCAGGAGUCAAGAAGUGCACAGAGGGCAUGGAUGCGUUGGAAAGGGGAGGUGCUGGCCUUUUAAAGAUCAUAUGGCUUGGACAAGGAACAUGCAUGAGAGAAGUACUGGACUUUUCAUUUCCUGCCCUGGGCCUUGCCAGUGGAGGAGCACUGAGAUCUGCUAUAAUCAACACUCUUAUUGGAAGCAUUACUGUUCCGUGAAAAAUCGCCUGUGCCUGGGCUUCUCUUGC